ACUGCUGAAGACAAACCACCGUCGCUGCUCCUCCCAUGAACCCUACUAUCGUUGCAUGUGAUAGAAAAUCCACGAUGAACCCUAGCCUGCAACAUCCCAGUUAUUAAUUUUCUUCUUAACUUUUUUUACUUCAGUAAAAAAAUUAUAUCAACCCUUUUUUUUUUUUUUUAAUCUUGAUUUACCCUUAUCUCACAGGGCUGCUUGUUCAAAAUGGAUCUCUGUAGAUUCGCAUGUUCACUAUCUUCUCCGACAUGCAGUGUUAUUUUGUCUGUGUGUGUGUGUGUGUAAGGAAGAAUUGUUGUCAUACACGCCACCUUUUGAAAUUCUAUAAGCUAUAUAAUAUACUCAUCUAAUCAAACAGCAAACAGACAAGAGCUUCCAGUUGGAGAGAAGGAAAAAACCAAGAAAGCUUUUUGGUACUCAUGUUUUAUUAAUUUAUAAUUCAUUAUACGACACGACUGUUUCACUUAAAACGACAUGCCACUCCUUUAAAUUUAAUCCUUUUUUUUUUUUUUUUACCUUAACAGUCCAAGCGAAGCUUGCAGAACUCCAGCGAAGAAGGUGGCAGUGAAAGCAAGAUGAAGAUAAAGCUUUGGAUUCUCACUAGCAUUCACCUCUUUCCCUAGC
rnacentral:lncRNA from 1 species